rnacentral:rRNA from 1 species
GCGGCGGACGGGUGAGUAAUGCCUAGGAAUCUGCCUAUUAGUGGGGGACAACGUUUCGAAAGGAACGCUAAUACCGCAUACGUCCUACGGGAGAAAGCAGGGGACCUUCGGGCCUUGCGCUAAUAGAUGAGCCUAGGUCGGAUUAGCUUGUUGGUGAGGUAAUGGCUCACCAAGGCGACGAUCCGUAACUGGUCUGAGAGGAUGAUCAGUCACACUGGAACUGAGACACGGUCCAGACUCCUACGGGAGGCAGCAGUGGGGAAUAUUGGACAAUGGGCGAAAGCCUGAUCCAGCCAUGCCGCGUGUGUGAAGAAGGUCUUCGGAUUGUAAAGCACUUUAAGUUGGGAGGAAGGGCAGUAAAUUAAUACUUUGCUGUUUUGACGUUACCGACAGAAUAAGCACCGGCUAACUCUGUGCCAGCAGCCGCGGUAAUACAGAGGGUGCAAGCGUUAAUCGGAAUUACUGGGCGUAAAGCGCGCGUAGGUGGUUUGUUAAGUUGG